rnacentral:rRNA from 1 species
GACGAACGCUGGCGGCGUGCUUAACACAUGCAAGUCGAACGGAAAGGCCCUGCUUUUGUGGGGUGCUCGAGUGGCGAACGGGUGAGAAACACGUGAGUAACCUGCCCUUGACUUUGGGAUAACUUCAGGAAACUGGGGCUAAUACCGGAUAGGAGCUCCUGCUGCAUGGUGGGGGUUGGAAAGUUUCGGCGGUUGGGGAUGGACUCGCGGCUUAUCAGCUUGUUGGUGGGGUAGUGGCUUACCAAGGCUUUGACGGGUAGCCGGCCUGAGAGGGUGACCGGCCACAUUGGGACUGGGAUACGGCCCAGACUCCUACGGGAGGCAGCAGUGGGGAAUAUUGCACAAUGGGCGGAAGCCUGAUGCAGCAACGCCGCGUGCGGGAUGACGGCCUUCGGGUUGUAAACCGCUUUCGCCUGUGACGAAGCGUGAGUGACGGUAAUGGGUAAAGAAGCACCGGCUAACUACGUG